AUGGGCUCCUACGUUCAGGGUGAGUUGAGCCGAUCGAUCCCGAGGUCUGCGGCGAGUUGGUUGGGCUGCCUCGUGGUUUUCCCCCUAGUGGCUUACCUGAUCUUUCAUUUGUUUUUGCUGUCAGGUGAGGAUGAAGUUCCCGUCUAUGAAUCGGGUGCACAUGCCCUGCAGAAGCUGCAAGAGAAAUGGAAGUCCACGGCGGCGCCGUACCCGGCCAUGUACUCGAGCUUCUUGGGCGGGAUCAUCCUGGACCCGGCCAUGAUGGCCCUCCCCAUCGACGACCACAUGGUCCACCGCGGCCACGGCGUCUUCGACACGGCCAUGCUCCUCGACGGCCACCUCUACGAGCUCGACGCGCACCUCGACCGCUUCCUGCGCUCCGCGGCGCAGGCCAAGGUGGGCACCCCGUUCCCGCGCGACACGCUGCGCAGCAUCCUCGUGCAGAUGACGGCGGCGUCCGGCUGCCGGAAGGGCUCCAUCCGGUACUGGCUGAGCUCCGGCCCGGGCGACUUCCUGCUCUCCUCCAGCGGCUGUCCCGGCCCGGCCUUCUACGCCGUGGCGAUCCCGUCCGACUACGCGCAGUGCCGCGACGGCGUGCGCGCCGUGACCACGUCGGUGCCCAUGAAGCCGCCGCUGUUCGCCACCAUGAAGAACGUCAACUACCUCCCUAAUGUGCUGUCCAUCAUGGACGCCGAGGAGCGCGGCGCGUUCGCGUCCGUGUGGGUGGACGAGCAGGGGUACGUCGCCGAGGGGCCCAUGGUGAACGUCGCCUUCGUCACCCAGGGCGGCGAGCUCGUGCUCCCUGUGUUCGACAAGAUCCUCAGCGGGUGCACAGCCAAGCGGAUGCUGGCGCUGGCGCCGAAGCUCGUGGAGGCCGGCCUGCUCAAGGGCGUCAGCACCCAGCACAUCACCGCCGACGACGCCAAGCGCUCCGUGGAGAUGGCCUUUGUCGGCAGCGGCCUGCCCGUGCUGCCCAUCGUCGAGUGGGACGGCCAGCCCAUCGGCGACGGGAAGGUGGGGAAGCUGAUGCUGGCGCUGUCCGAUCUGCUCUGGGAGGACAUGAAGUCCGGGCCGGACAGGGUCGCCGUUCCAUACAAGUGA
rnacentral:rRNA from 1 species